AUUGUCCCAGCCCCAGCCGAGGGGGACCAAGCGCUGCAGUGAUGAGAACAGCCCAUGAGGGAGACCAUUGACUUCCUGAACGACAACAUUCGAAGAGGAAUUGAGAACUACUAUGAUGAUCUGGACUUCAAAAACAUCAUGGACUUUGUUCAGAAAAAGUUCAAGUGCUGUGGCGGGGAGGACUACCGAGAUUGGAGCAAGAACCAGUACCACGACUGCAGUGCCCCUGGACCCCUGGCCUGUGGGGUGCCCUACACCUGCUGCAUCAGGAACACGACAGAAGUUGUCAACACCAUGUGUGGCUACAAAACUAUCGACAAGGAGCGUUUCAGUGUGCAGGAUGUCAUCUACGUGCGGGGCUGCACCAACGCCGUGAUCAUCUGGUUCAUGGACAACUACACCAUCAUGGCGGGCAUCCUCCUGGGCAUCCUGCUUCCCCAGUUCCUGGGGGUGCUGCUGACGCUGCUGUACAUCACCCGGGUGGAGGACAUCAUCAUGGAGCACUCUGUCACUGAUGGGCUCCUGGGGCCCGGUGCCAAGCCCAGCGUGGAGGCGGCAGGCACGGGAUGCUGCUUGUGCUACCCCAAUUAGGGCCCAGCCUGCCAUGGCAGCUCCAACAAGGACCGUCUGGGAUAGCACCUCUCAGUCAACAUCGUGGGGCUGGACAGGGCUGCGGCCCCUCUGCCCACA
rnacentral:sRNA from 1 species